rnacentral:rRNA from 1 species
ACGCUGGCGGCGUGCCUAAUACAUGCAAGUAGAACGCUGAAGGAGGAGCUUGCUUCUCCGGAUGAGUUGCGAACGGGUGAGUAACGCGUAGGUAACCUGCCUGGUAGCGGGGGAUAACUAUUGGAAACGAUAGCUAAUACCGCAUAACAGUAAAUGUUGCAUGACAUUUGCUUAAAAGGUGCAAUUGCAUCACUACCAAAUGGACCUGCGUUGUAUUAGCUAGUUGGUGGGGUAACGGCUCACCAAGGCGACGAUACAUAGCCGACCUGAGAGGGUGAUCGGCCACACUGGGACUGACACACGGCCCACACUCCUACGGGAGGCAGCAGUAGGGAAUCUUCGGCAAUGGACGGAAGUCUGACCGACCAACGCCGCGUGAGUGAAGAAGGUUUUCGGACCGUAAAGCUCUGUUGUAAAAGAAGAACUGGUGUGAGAGUGGAGAGUUCACACUGUGACGGUAUCUUACCAAAAAGGGACGGCUAACUACGUGCCAGCAGCCGCGGUAAUACGUAGGUCCCGAGCGUUGUCCGGAUUUAUUGGGCGUAAAGCGAGCGCAGGCGGUUAGAUAAGUCUGAAGUUAAAGGCUGUGGCUUAACCAUAGUACGCUUUGGAAACUGUUUAACUUGAGUGCAAGAGGGGAGAGUGGAAUUCCAUGUGUAGCGGUGAAAUGCGUAGAUAUAUGGAGGAACACCGGUGGCGAAAGCGGCUCUCUGGCUUGUAACUGACGCUGAGGCUCGAAAGCGUGGGGAGCAAACAGGAUUAGAUACCCUGGUAGUCCACGCCGUAAACGAUGAGUGCUAGGUGUUAGACCCUUUCCGGGGUUUAGUGCCGCAGCUAACGCAUUAAGCACUCCGCCUGGGGAGUACGACCGCAAGGUUGAAACUCAAAGGAAUUGACGGGGGCCCGCACAAGCGGUGGAGCAUG